UGGAAAUGAUUUGAUUUGGCUGUGCCACUUUGAGCUCUGUAUGCAUAGGCCUACUUAUGUCAGUAAAAUGUUUGCUUUCAAAAACAGAAUAUAUUUUAGUCUGAAAUUUGCAAAAUGUUGCCAAAGCAGGAAUUUUAGAGUGGGAAAAGCAGCUCUGGACAGUGUUAACCUGAAGGGUCGCAGCUUUCUAACACUGAAGGAUUUUAAUGCAGAGGAAAUUAAACAUAUCCUGUGGGUUUCUGCUGACCUUAAACAUCGAAUAAAACACAGGGGUGAGUAUGUCCCAUUACUUCAAGGCAAAUCUAUUGCCAUGAUAUUUGAGAAGAGGAAGAAAGA